UCGUCCCAUGUGUUUCUUUUCCUCAAAAGAGAAACCAGUCCUUGUUAAAUUGAAAAGGCUUGGCUGAAGUCGAUCACUCAGCUGUGAUAUUGUGUGCAGGCUACCAGUGACGAACAUAAUCGGUUAUCAGGCCAGUUAUGGAUCCAUGUACAGCAGUUGCAGCAGCAGGAGGGGCAGUCCUGGCAGUCGCUGCAGUACCUGUUGCAGUGACUGGUAUUGGCUUUACUGCUGGAGGGAUAGCAGUAGGAUCUCUAGCCGCCAAACUGAUGAGUCUAACUGCGGUGGCUGGUGGAGGAGCAGUGGGAGCUGGGAGUGCGGUGGCAUACUUGCAGUCUAUUGGUGCUGCUGGGUUGUCCACUGCAGGAACUGCAUUCGUGGGAACGGUAGGGGCGGCAGUUGGUGCAGCCUUUGGUGACUCCACAGUCUGCAGCGCAUGGACUCAGUGACCGAGUGCUUAGGAUAAAAGCAUAACUGAGGUUUUUGUGCAGCAGCAGCUGGAUCAGCUGCCAUAGCUGCCAUAGUCAACUGCACUGUAUGAGAUGUCACAUCAUCUCAAGAUACCAACUUAACCAAUCAUGAAAUGGAAAUAAAGGUGAAAUUGGACAAUC